AAGUCGUAACAAGGUUUCCGUAGGUGAACCUGCGGAAGGAUCAUUAUCGUACAACCGAGGUGCAUGGGCUGUCGCUGACCUUCAAAGGUCGUGCACGCCCAAGCGCUCUCACACAUCCAUCUCACCUUUGUGCAUCACCGCGUGGGUCCCCUUUGCAGGAGGGCUUGCGUUUUCACAUAAAACUUGAUACAGUGUAGAAUGUUUUAUUUGUGGUCACACACAAUCAAUACAACUUUCAACAACGGAUCUCUUGGCUCUC
rnacentral:misc_RNA from 1 species